GUAGGUGGCAAGCGUUGUCCGGAAUUAUUGGGCGUAAAGCGCGCGCAGGCGGUUCUUUAAGUCUGAUGUGAAAGCCCACGGCUCAACCGUGGAGGGUCAUUGGAAACUGGAGAACUUGAGUACAGAAGAGGAAAGCGGAAUUCCACGUGUAGCGGUGAAAUGCGUAGAGAUGUGGAGGAACACCAGUGGCGAAGGCGGCUUUCUGGUCUGUAACUGACGCUGAGGCGCGAAAGCGUGGGGAGCAAACGAGGAUUAGAUACCCGUGGUAGUCCACGCCGUAAACGAUGAGUGCUAAGUGUUAGGGGGUUUCCGCCCCCCUUAGUGCUGCAGCUAACGCAUUAAGCACUCCGCCUGGGAGUACGGCCGCAAGGCUG
rnacentral:rRNA from 1 species